AUCAAGCAACAAUGAACUAUGAUCGAGGGCUUUAAUUUCAGUCAUAAGAUUAAAUUUCAACAAGGUAUAUGAAUCAUCACUUUCAAUGCUUGUGCAAAUGCAAGCUAUAUGCUACUAGACUCAAUCCUAGAGAUAUAGAUGACUAUGCAAAAUUACAUGCAUCUUUUGGAUUUUUCAAUUUUUUUUUUUGAUUUUUCUCAAAACAAAGCUAUUAACAAAUGCAAGACUCAAGAGAAAUGAAAAACAAAACAAAACACAUCAUUAGAUACCUAGUCCCUCCCCCAAACUUAAUUCACAAAGUCUCGGUGUGAUAAAAAAAAUGAGGAAGAGACUAACAAAAAAAAAACUAAAAUGAGACUCAAAGCGG
rnacentral:lncRNA from 1 species